rnacentral:rRNA from 1 species
AGAGCGAACGCUGGCGGCAGGCUUAACACAUGCAAGUCGAGCGGGCGUAGCAAUACGUCAGCGGCAGACGGGUGAGUAACGCGUGGGAACGUACCUUUUGGUUCGGAACAACCCAGGGAAACUUGGGCUAAUACCGGAUAAGCCCUUACGGGGAAAGAUUUAUCGCCGAAAGAUCGGCCCGCGUCUGAUUAGCUAGUUGGUGGGGUAAUGGCCCACCAAGGCGACGAUCAGUAGCUGGUCUGAGAGGAUGAUCAGCCACAUUGGGACUGAGACACGGCCCAAACUCCUACGGGAGGCAGCAGUGGGGAAUAUUGGACAAUGGGCGCAAGCCUGAUCCAGCCAUGCCGCGUGAGUGAUGAAGGCCCUAGGGUUGUAAAGCUUCUUUUGGUGCGGGAAGAUAAUGACGGUACCGCAAGAAUAACGCCCCGGCUAACUUCGCGCCAGCAGCCGC